rnacentral:lncRNA from 1 species
CGUGAUAUCGCACUAGUCCCUGAGGAGACGAUAUAUAAAUAGUUACUUUUGUUUGAAGGAAAAAUACUACAUCAGAUGUCCAUAUCCAUAACUAUAUUAAAUAAACAUAAUUUGAAUUGAAUUGAAUUAGAAACGGACAUCAUAAAUCACAUUUUCAAACAAUUCUAUAGAGGAUCAUCAUUCAAUCAUGUUCUAGGAGUCUAGCCACUUCUGGUUGCUCUGGUCGCACCUACAUGCAUCUGAGUCGUCAGGAUUCAAAAUCUUUCCUUUUGAGUGAAAAACGAAAUUUAUAUGCAAUUUCCCACAAACACACAUGGGGGUAAAGUUUGCCCACAUGCCCUUCACAUCGUCAAUUAUGAUAUUUUUGCUUUUAGUAGAGUAGCGCACACAAGACAUUUGGCCUCAUUAAUAGCGCGCGUAUGACCAAGAGUCCUUCUUGUUCCUUUCUUCAGUACACGGAGGGCAUGUGGCCCUGAUACAAAUUUCAUUUGUUAUUUUUUCUUCCACUUUUUAUGGCUUUUAACCUUUGAUGUGUGCUUGAGACUUGAGACAAAAUUUCUCCAAGUUGUCUAGACUUCUAAUGUUCAUGAUGCUUGGUUUUCAUGCUUUUGUAACUUCUUCUACUAGGAUAUUAUGCUCGGAUCAACCCACUAAUCUAUACCAAAAAGACUAAAAACACCUUAUAGAGUAGUAUGGUUAGGGAAUUACAAGACACAUGAUGAUUUAACAAAAUACUACAUACUUAUUCACAAAACUAUAAAUAACUCACUCUAAAUUCUAUAGAAAAUCAUAGAAUAAGCAAUAAAAAACUCGAUAAAAUACCAAUACAUGAUAUGAUGAUGAGUCAUCAUCAGUGUCCAUCUUUUCGCUAUUAUAUUAUAAUAGAUUUUUGUAACUUAUGAAACCAUUGCCUUUAAUUUGUGCAAUGCAUUGAAAGCUUAACAAGAGAAUGAAGAUCAGAG